UUGCAAACUGGAGAUGGCGACCGGCGCACGGGUGAGUAACACGCUAUCCAACCUGCCGAUAACUCGGGGAUAGCCUUUCGAAAGAAAGAUUAAUACCCGAUGGUAUAAUCANACCGCAUGGUCUUGUUAUUAAAGAAUUUCGGUUAUCGAUGGGGAUGCGUUCCAUUAGGCAGUUGGUGAGGUAACGGCUCACCAAACCUUCGAUGGAUAGGGGUUCUGAGAGGAAGGUCCCCCACAUUGGAACUGAGACACGGUCCAAACUCCUACGGGAGGCAGCAUUGAGGAAUUUUGUUCAAUGGGCGCAGGCCUGAACCAGCCAAGUAGCGUGAAGGAUGACUGCCCUAUGGGUUGUAAACUUCUUUUAUAUGGGAAUAAAGUUUUCCACGUGUGGAAUUUUGUAUGUACCAUAUGAAUAAGGAUCGGCUAACUCCGUGCCAGCAGCCGCGGUAAAUACGGAGGAUCCGAGCGUUAUCCGGAUUUAUUGGGUUUAAAGGGAGCGUAGGUGGACAGUUAAGUCAGUUGUGAAAGUUUGCGGCUCAACCGUAAAAUUUGCAGUUGAUACUGGCUGUCUUGAGUACAGUAGAGGUGGGCGGAAUUCGUGGUGUAGCGGUGAAAUGCUUAGAUAUCACGAAGAACUCCGAUUGCGAAGGCAGCUCACUGGACUGCAACUGACACUGAUGCUCGAAAGUGUGGGUAUCAAACAGGAUUAGAUACCCUGGUAGUCCACACAGUAAACGAUGAAUACUCGCUGUUUGCGAUAUACAGUAAGCGGCCAAGCGAAAGCAUUAAUUAUUCCACCUGGGGAGUACGCCGGCAACGGUGAAACUCAAAGGAAUUGACGGGGGGCCCGCACAAGCGGAGGAACAUGUGGUUUAAUUCGAUGAUACGCGAGGAACCUUACCCCGGGCUUAAAUUGCAUUUGAAUUUAUUGGAAACAGUAUAGCCCGUAAGGCAAAUGUGAAGGUGCUGCAUGGUUGUCGUCAGCUCGUGCCGUGAGGUGUCGGCUUAAGUGCCAUAACNGAGCGCAACCCUUAUCUUUAGUUACUAACAGGUCAUGCUGAGGACUCUAGAGAGACUGCCGUCGUAAGAUGUGAGGAAGGUGGGGAUGACGUCAAAUCAGCACGGCCCUUACGUCCGGGGCUACACACGUGUUACAAUGGGGGGUACAGAAGGCAGCUACCUGGUGACAGGAUGCUAAUCCCAAAAGCCUCUCUCAGUUCGGAUCGAAGUCUGCAACCCGACUUCGUGAAGCUGGAUUCGCUAGUAAUCGCGCAUCAGCCAUGGCGCGGUGAAUACGUUCCCGGGCCUUGUACACACCGCCCGUCAAGCCAUGAAAGCCGGGGGUACCUGAAGUACGUAACCGCAAGGAGCUCCUAGGG
rnacentral:rRNA from 1 species